rnacentral:lncRNA from 10 species
UAUUUUUAUCCUAUGGAUUUUCCUAUUAUAUUUAAACUUGCUCUUUUAGUUUGUUUUUAGAGCUCUCCUCAAGAAACAUACUCUUUGUUUUUAACGCUCAAUCCUUUUUUAUUCUUUGUAGAAACUAGUGGUCUCCUAUUAAGUAAAUAGAUGUGGGUCUCAUUAGAGGGAUCCAUUCUAAAACAGAAGAGGACAACACUCAGGGAGGGCUGCAAUGAGACAGAGAAUCCUGAGAUUGUUCCUCAUGUGCAGAUCUUCACCUGGGGCUGCAGAAGACUGUACAGCUAUAGACAAAAUAAUGAUAAGGUACAGAUGUCGUGGAAAGCCAGAACAUAGGAGUGAAUCCAUCCUACAGUCUGAAGGCGGAAACAAAGCCAUAAAUGGGGUUGGGGGAGAAACCCUGUGGUAAGAAUCUGUAGAGAUGAGGAAAAAAUUGUAGGAUUUAAGGUAGGUUAGGAACUGGCAGUUCAGAGCAAUGCCAGGGUAUUAGAAACUCACUCUCGUGUCAUCUAAGUUUCCCAAUAUAGGAUUGAGUGGACCUCAUCAUAUUAGCCACAUUCAAGGAAUAUAUGUAUGUUAUAGAAGUCAAUGGUUACAUUAAAAUAUUAAGUUUGAACACAAGUUCUAAUUUAUUUUUAUCAUUAUUUCUUAAUAGCAAUUAAUUCUUUGGGGCUUCAAUUACUGACUGUAUUCCAAACGGUUACCAACAGUUCACUUCUUUUAUUGCAGAACUUACACCAUUUCCAAAUAACCAAUGUAAAUUUUUACCUCGGAUAUUAUUUUGUUACCCGCAAACAACAAAUGUGAAUUUAGAUUUAUCAUCUUCGUCGGGGACUGAAUUUCCCCUGUAAUAUUGUUUUUUGUUGAUUUGUUUGUUUUGUAGUGGCAUCCCCUGCCCCUAUGUACCUAUGUUUGAUUUAUCUUUUAUUUCCUUCUUUUAUACUUAAACCUUAAGGUGGAUUGGAAAGUUGAUAUCAGUGACACAAAGUUUAGUUGAUUGGGUACUUUACAUUUCUACUUGACUUUGUACAUUUCUGAUUUAUAUGAACAACAAGCAACUCAGACUAAGCCUCCUUCAUUGCCCUAAGAGGUCUACUAUAUUUCUAGUGAUUUUACCUAGGGGAUCUAUACAUGUACUAACAGUAGAAAUUAGAGGUGCAACACUACUGGCCAGAAUAUAGCAACAUCCUAAGUACAUUAAUAAUGUGUAAAGUGCCCAGCAUGUAAGGCACAAAUAAAAAUAGGGAAUGUCAUUUUAUUAAAUUAUCAGAAGUUAUGGGUCACAUUCAAACAGAAAUAUUCUAAGAAAUUCAAUUCUAAGAAAUUCAACUUACUUUUAAUGUCAAUGUUUCUGAAAUUGGUAAACAUCAUUGACGUCAAAAAGCCUUCUAUGCAUGAAAUAAAUUAUACUUGUCAUUUCUGAGCUUAUGGUAACAUGGUCAAGAAUUAAAGGUAUAUUCAUCUGACUUCUGUUUCAUCAGGCUGCUAUUUGAGAAGGGUUAUUUGCCUUAGUACCAUCAGCAGUGGUUGAAUUUUAUAUUUGGUUCUGCAUUUGUCAUUUAAAAUGUCCACAAAAAGAUAACCCCCUUAAGGAGCAUUAGAACUAGAAGUUACUGUGAACCUAGACGAUCGCCUGUUUUUUGCCAUCUAGCAUAAUGAAGGUCGUAGUAUUGCCAAAGUUUUUCGAAUUCACUGUAGUUUUUUCAAAACUAGAUAAAAACUCUGACCAAUUUUUGAGUCCUGGGGGACUAUCACUUCAGCCAUAAACACAAACAAGUUAACUAGAAUUUAACGAAAUAGUAAAUGGAGAAAAAAAUUCUAGAAUUACCUGAUUUGUUUCUAAAUUAUACUGUUGCUCCUAAAAAUGUUAAGAAAUUAGGGUCGUGAGCACUGUUGGUCACUAUGAUGAUAUGCUUACCCACUGAUGGUCAAAAUUUAUC